UUAGCUCCUGAAAUCGGGUGAGGCAAUCCGCUGAAUUUAAGCAUAUAAUUAAGCGGCAGAAGAGAAAAUAACUAU
rnacentral:rRNA from 3 species